GUCUCUGUAGCGCAAUGGAUCACGCUUUGGACUUCUAAUCCAAAAGUUGUGGGUUCGAAUCCCGCAUGAGAUG
rnacentral:tRNA from 1 species